AAGACCCCAACAUGAACGCUGUUCUGAAAGUAUGCAGUCUGAGUUGAUUAUCGUAAUCAGUUAAAACUUUCAACAACGGAUCUCUUGGUUCCGGCAUCGAUGAAGAACGCAGCGAAAUGCGAUAAGUAAUGUGAAUUGCAGAAUUCAGUGAAUCAUCGAGUCUUUGAACGCACAUUGCGCCCCCUGGUAUUCCGGGGGGCAUGCCUGUCCGAGCGUCAUUGCUGCCCUCAAGCACGGCUUGUGUGUUGGGCCCCCGUCCCCCUCUCCCGGGGGACGGGCCCGAAAGGCAGCGGCGGCACCGCGUCCGGUCCUCGAGCGUAUGGGGCUUUGUCACCUGCUCUGUAGGCCCGGCCGGCGCCAGCCGACACCCAACUUUAUUUUUCUAAGGUUGACCUCGGAUCAGGUAGGGAUACCCGCUGAACUUAAGCAUAUCAAUAAGCCGGAGGAAAAUUACCGAGUGAAGGGCCUCUGGGUCCAACCU
rnacentral:rRNA from 1 species